rnacentral:rRNA from 1 species
AUUGAACGCUGGCGGCAUGCCUUACACAUGCAAGUCGAACGGUAACAGGUUAAGCUGACGAGUGGCGAACGGGUGAGUAAUGUAUCGGAACGUGCCCAGUCGUGGGGGAUAACUGCUCGAAAGAGCAGCUAAUACCGCAUACGACCUGAGGGUGAAAGCGGGGGAUCGCAAGACCUCGCGCGAUUGGAGCGGCCGAUAUCAGAUUAGGUAGUUGGUGGGGUAAAGGCUCACCAAGCCGACGAUCUGUAGCUGGUCUGAGAGGACGACCAGCCACACUGGGACUGAGACACGGCCCAGACUCCUACGGGAGGCAGCAGUGGGGAAUUGUGGACAAUGGGCGCAAGCCUGAUCCAGCCAUGCCGCGUGCGGGAAGAAGGCCUUCGGGUUGUAAACCGCUUUUGUCAGGGAAGAAAAGGUUCUGGCUAAUACCUGGGACUCAUGACGGUACCUGAAGAAUAAGCACCGGCUAACUACGUG